UACGUAGGGUGCAGGCGUUAAUCGGAAUUACUGGGCGUAAAGCGUGCGCAGGCGGUUUGCUAAGACAGGUGUGAAAUCCCCGGGCUUAACCUGGGAACUGCGCUUGUAACUGGCAAGCUUGAGUGUGGCAGAGGGGGGUGGAAUUCCGCGUGUAGCAGUGAAAUGCGUAGAGAUGCGGAGGAACACCGAUGGCGAAGGCAGCCCCCUGGGUCAACACUGACGCUCAGGCACGAAAGCGUGGGGAGCAAACAGG
rnacentral:rRNA from 1 species